GUUGCAAUGAUGAAACUUUUUCCACUGCUGCAUUAAGGCCGAGUGUGCCAUGCGGAGACUUAACCUUGGAGAACUGAGUAAC
rnacentral:snoRNA from 1 species